rnacentral:rRNA from 1 species
UACUACAGCUAUACCACCCUGAACGUGCCCAAUCUCAUCUGAUCUUGGAAGCUAAGCAGGAUCAGGCCUGGUUAUUAUUUGGAUGGGCAACAUGGCUUAUAGAGAGAAAAGUGGCUCUCUGAA